AUCUGUUGUAAAAUCCCAUUUAUUACCACCAGUUUUCGAGUCAUACCAACCAAUAAAAGUAUAGCCUUCUUUUGUUGGGCUCAAUGGUUCAGAAAUUAGCUCUCCAGCUUCAAGAGAUUCUGUCGUUUGUACAUCAUCCACAUCAAAUGUCACAUUCGAAA
rnacentral:sRNA from 2 species